GCCGGAUUAGCACAGUGGUAGCUGCGUAGCACUUGUAAUGCUAAGGUCACUUGUUCGAUCCAGGUAUUCGGCA